UGAGUAACCUGCCCUUAACUCUGGGAUAAGCCUGGGAAACUGGGUCUAAUACCGGAUAUGACUCCUCAUCGCAUGGUGGGGGGUGGAAAGCUUUAUUGUGGUUUUGGAUGGACUCGCGGCCUAUCAGCUUGUUGGUGAGGUAAUGGCUCACCAAGGCGACGACAGGUAGCCGGCCUGAGAGGGUGACCGGCCACACUGGGACUGAGACACGGCCCAGACCUCCGUACGGGAGGCAG
rnacentral:rRNA from 1 species